GUCGAGGGGCAGCAUUUUAGUUUGCUUGCAAACUAAAGAUGGCGACCGGCGCACGGGCUGAGCUAACACGCUAUCCNACCUGCCGAUAACUCGGGGAUAGCCUUUCGAAAGAAAGAUUAAUAUCCGAUAGUAUAUUAAAACCGCAUGGUUUUACUAUUAAAGAAUUUCGGUUAUCGAUGGGGAUGCGUUCCAUUAGUUUGUUGGCGGGGUAACGGCCCACCAAGACUACGAUGGAUAGGGGUUCUGAGAGGAAGGUCCCCCACAUUGGAACUGAGACACGGUCCAAACUCAUACGGGAGGCAGCAGUGAGGAAUAUUGGUCAAUGGACGAGAGUCUGAACCAGCCAAGUAGCGUGAAGGAUGACUGCCCAAUGGGUUGUAAACUUCUUUUAUAUGGGAAUAAAGUAUUUCCACGUGUGGGAUUUUGUAUGUACCAUAUGAAUAAGGAUCGGCUAACUCCGUGCCAGCAGCCGCGGUAAUACGGAGGAUCCGAGCGUUAUCCCGGAUUUAUUGGGUUUAAAGGGAGCGUAGGUGGAUUGUUAAGUCAGUUGUGAAAGUUUGCGGCUCAACCGUAAAAUUGCAGUUGAAACUGGCAGUCUUGAGUACAGUAGAGGUGGGCGGAAUUCGUGGUGUAGCGGUGAAAUGCUUAGAUAUCACGAAGAACUCCGAUUGCGAAGGCAGCUCACUAGACUGCAACUGACACUGAUGCUCGAAAGUGUGGGUAUCAAACAGGAUUAGAUACCCUGGUAGUCCACACAGUAAACGAUGAAUACUCGCUGUUUGCGAUAUACAGUAAGCGGCCAAGCGAAAGCAUUAAGUAUUCCACCUGGGGAGUACGCCGGCAACGGUGAAACUCAAAGGAAUUGACGGGGGCCCGCACAAGCGGAGGAACAUGUGGUUUAANUUCGAUGAUACGCGAGGAACCUUACCCGGGCUUAAAUUGCAUUUGAAUAAUCUGGAAACAGGUUAGCCGCAAGGCAAAUGUGAAGGUGCUGCAUGGUUGUCGUCAGCUCGUGCCGUGAGGUGUCGGCUUAAGUGCCAUAACGAGCGCAACCCUUAUCUUUAGUUACUAACAGGUCAUGCUGAGGACUCUAGAGAGACUGCCGUCGUAAGAUGUGAGGAAGGUGGGGAUGACGUCAAAUCAGCACGGCCCUUACGUCCGGGGCUACACACGUGUUACAAUGGGGGGUACAGAAGGCAGCUACCUGGCGACAGGAUGCUAAUCCCAAAAACCUCUCUCAGUUCGGAUCGAAGUCUGCAACCCGACUUCGUGAAGCUGGAUUCGCUAGUAAUCGCGCAUCAGCCAUGGCGCGGUGAAUACGUUCCCGGGCCUUGUACACACCGCCCGUCAAGCCAUGAAAGCCGGGGGUACCUGAAGUACGUACCGCAA
rnacentral:rRNA from 1 species